rnacentral:rRNA from 1 species
CCUACGGGAGGCAGCAGUGGGGAAUCUUGCGCAAUGCACGAAAGUGUGACGCAGCAACGCCGCGUGGGGGAAGAAGGCUUUCGGGUCGUAAACCCCUUUCAGUUGGGACGAAGCUUCGUCGGUUAAUAGCCGGCUGAAGUGACGGUACCUUCACAAGAAGCACCGGCUAACUACGUGCCAGCAGCCGCGGUAAUACGUAGGGUGCAAGCGUUGUCCGGAAUCAUUGGGCGUAAAGAGUGUGUAGGCGGCCCGAUCAGUCCGCUGUGAAAGUCCAAGGCUCAACCUUGGAAUGCCGGUGGAUACUGUCGGGCUCGAGUCCGGAAGAGGCGAGUGGAAUUCCUGGUGUAGCGGUGAAAUGCGCAGAUAUCAGGAAGAACACCAACGGCGAAGGCAGCUCGCUGGGACGGUACUGACGCUGAGACACGAAAGCGUGGGGAGCAAACAGGAUUAGAUACCCUGGUAGUCCACGCCGUAAACGAUGGGUACUAGGUGUGGGGGUGUCGACUCCCCCGUGCCGAGCUAACGCAUUAAGUACCCCGCCUGGGGAGUACGGCCGCAGGCAAAACUCAAAGGAAUUAGACGG